GACGAACGCUGGCGGCGUGCUUAACACAUGCAAGUCGAACGGAAAGGCCCUGCUUUUGUGGGGUGCUCGAGUGGCGAACGGGUGAGUAACACGUGAGUAACCUGCCCUUGACUUUGGGAUAACUUCAGGAAACUGGGGCUAAUACCGGAUAGGAGCUCCUGCUGCAUGGUGGGGGUUGGAAAGUUUCGGCGGUUGGGGAUGGACUCGCGGCUUAUCAGCUUGUUGGUGGGGUAGUGGCUUACCAAGGCUUUGACGGGUAGCCGGCCUGAGAGGGUGACCGGCCACAUUGGGACUGAGGUACGGGCCAGACUCCUACGGGAGGGAGCAGUGGGGAAUAUUGCACAAUGGGCGGAAGCCUGAUGCAGCAACGCCGCGUGCGGGAUGACGGCCUUCGGGUUGUAAACCGCUUUCGCCUGUGACGAAGCGUGAGUGACGGUAAUGGGUAAAGAAGCACCGGCUAACUACGUG
rnacentral:rRNA from 1 species